GUCGACUAAACAUCUAUCAAUCAAAUUAGGCUUCUAUAUAUAUGUUACCAAUAAAGGUAUUGAAUAACACCAGUAACUAAACAUCGUCACUUGUUAGCAUCAGAGACAAUGGAUAGAAGGAUUUUGGUUGUCCUUUUGGUUUUUGCUCUAAUAAUGACGUCAGUUUCCGCCAGAACAUGUCGGAAAUCUUGCAGACGCCAGAGGAACAGGUGUGAAAGAAGGUGUGAUUUUGCGCCUUUACUCCAAAGAAGAAACUGUAGGAUGAGAUGUGAGAGGAAAUUUAGAAGAUGCAAGGCGCAAUGCAACUAUGGCUAAAGUGACCAUCAUAAAGUGAUUUGUGUUUGAUCUAUCAUGAUUAAAUUAUAAAACAAACA